AUGACCAUUUCUCUUUUAGCACGUUCUCUGUUCUCCUCUUCUAGAAGUUGUAGACGUCUAUUUAGUUUAAUUAUCUGUCGUCUUAAUGAAGCUGCAUCUACAACAUUCAUGUCAUCUGCCGCUCCUUCAACUGUUGGAUCUAUAUUUGAAAUGCCAUGUAUAGAAUCAUUUCUGACCAGCUGUCCAUUUUGGCGAACAGCAUUUUCACUCACAGAGCGCGCUCUCUUUUUAGCCUGCCAACUGCACGGAUUUCAUCAUUUUGAGGGGUUGGAGGAGGUCUUUCUAAGUCCAGAAAAUCUACUGGUCUUUCACUUAGUGUAAGUACACGAGGUGGUGUUUUUAGUGCCAGAGGCUUUAAAGGAGUAGACUGAAUAAGGUCAAGAUCUGCUGGUCUUGAAAAUGAAAUGUCUUCAGUAUUUCCUGCUACAAUAAUCCUCUCUGGAACUUGCAUUAUCACACUGGCAUUUGGAACUCCUUCGUGGAAUCCUUGUUCCAGGUCAGCAUUUGAUGGUGCUACUUUUAAUUUUUCCGGGACCCUCAUUCACUGACUAAUACCUUCGGUGUAUUCCAUUUCAUACUGAAUUCAAAANNNNNNNNNNNNNNNNNNNNNNNNNNNNNNNNNNNNNNNNNNNNNNNNNNNNNNNNNNNNNNNNNNNNNNNNNNNNNNNNNNNNNNNNNNUGUUUCUGUGCUUCAUAUUAAAUCCUUAACUUGCUUCACUGUGCAUGGGCUGGACUUGGAGCCACUGGUGUCCCCCGGGCCCUCUACAGAGUCCUGCAGAGGGCCACCGCCUGCCGGCUCCCGGGGCACUCUCAGAGGCCGUUCGUUGGCCGAGCGCCUGCAGUGGGCAACCCAGGCAAGGCACCCCUCUCUCAGUUUUAAAGGUUGAAAAAUCCAAGAUAAAGAAGCCAUCUAUUUUGGUUGCUGAUAAGGGCUCCUUUCUUGGCUCACAGAUGGCUACCUUCUCACUGCAUCCUCAUAUGUGGAAACAGUGCUCUACUAGUAUCUCCUUUCUGUAAGGUUCUAACCCUAUUAUGAGGACCACACCCUCAUAACAUCAUCUAAACCUAAGCAUCUUCCAAAGACGCGAUAUUCCCAAACACCAUCCUAACAGGGAAUAGGGUUUCUACAUAUGAAUUUGGGGGGACACAACUCAGUGCAUCUACUGGGCAUUNNNNNNNNNNNNNNNNNNNNNNNNNNNNNNGCAUUCCUGGAGAGGAAUAAUAACAUUUAAAGCUCUGCGGUGGUAAUGGAUAUGGUAUGUUAAUGAAAUCAAGAAAAGACCUGUCUUUUUAGAACUGAUUGUCCUUGAAGCAUAAUAGAAAAUUGCAGGGAAUAAAAAGAAUGGGGUAUUAUAAAAGGUAUAGAAAGCUAUCUUAUGAUUUGAUUAGACAGGGGCCAGGGAUUUCCCUCAUACCAAAAAAUUAAAAUUAAAAUUAAAAAAAAAAAAUAAAAGAUUUGAUGAGACAGAAAAUAAGGAGAUAAAUGUUAGCACAGCAGUGACAAAAGGAAAAUACCCUUUAAGACUAGUGUAGCAAAACUGCAGCAUGGCUUACAAGAAGUAAUAAAACACCCCAAAUAACAAACAACUUUACAGGCAGAGAUUUUCAGUGGUUCUGCUGCCUGCCUCACAAGUGCAAGGUCCUGAGUUCAAUCCCCGGUACCAAACAAACAAACAACUUUAAAGUAGCCCAUGCUCAUAAUUUACUCUCUAUACAUGGAACCUAAAGAUUAAAGCAGAGGCUCCUAAGGACAGAUAUGAAUUGAGAUGUAAAGCAGCACAGUCAAGCAUGGUGGUUCAAGGCAAUAAUCCCAACUACUCUGGAGGUCGAGACAGGAGGAUUCCAAGUUGAAGACCAGCCUAGCAACUGAGCAAGAUCCUAUGUCAAAAAUAAAAGAUAAUUUUUAAAAGGACUAGGGACUCAGCACUGUGUCUCAGCAUUCCCUGGGCUCAAUCCCAGUACUAGAAGAGGGUGGGGAGGGGAGCACAGUGUCAUCUAUAAUGUUGUACCAGACUUCAAUGAAGUUAUACAAUAAUCUCAGUAGACAAUCUGAGUCAAGAACUUCUUGGAUUGGGCCGGGAAUUUAGCUCAGUGGUUCUGGCGCCUGCCUCGCAAACUGAGGACCCGAGUUCGAUCCCCGGUACAAAAAAAAAAAGAACUUCUUGGAUAAUUUAUCAUUUUAGAGUCAAAAUUUGUUUUGAUGAAUUUUUCUCCAUCAUCAUCCUUUAUCAAAACAAAACACUAACAAAAAUAAUCACUGAGACAGGAGAGAAGGGUCUGCUGCUUCCCCAAAGGUAUUUUUUGUUCUGCAGCUGCUCCAAAGACCUUGCAGCCAGCCAGCCUGCAUCACCCACUCCAUGGCUGCCCUGGAAGAUAACUGCUUUAGCUCUAGGAAGCUUCAAUCACAGACUUAUUCCACAUAGCUCUGCCCUGUAGCUUUUCUGUAGAAUUCUGCCUCUUUGCACCCCUUGUUCAGGUACACAAGGGGCUCCUCUCCUACCCACAGUCAAAUAGCAAGUCUGACAUUGUGCAUGCAGGAGCAUGCCUCUUUUCCUUCAUAAGCAAUCUCCUCAUACCCUUAGUCAGUACACCAUUACCCCUCAUGCUGCAGCAAAAGUCCUAAUAAAGCCUCUUCCAGGUGACAUAUUCUUGCCUAUUCAUGAUUUCUAUCUUGAAAAGAGCAUAUGCAACUGAUAACAUCACAGGCCACUGCACUAAAAGCAAUGAGAAACUUGAGUUGGUAGCACUAAUGCCCAAAGCUACCAUCAUCCAGGACUGCUAACACUAAAGGUGGGCUAGUAGCAAAGAACAACAAAGAACGAAGAAUAGCCAACAGCCACCAUCUCUGGUAGCUUGAAGAGUUCCAAAGGCCUACCAGUAGGUGCUGGUCCCAUGCUGCAAAGAGGGCCAUUAAUACUAAAAGAACUAAUAGGCACUGACAUUCAAAGCCCAAGACUAACACCAUAAGAGCUACAAUUUACCAAUUUGUGACUUCUAUACAAACUAAGCAAGAGCACUCAGAUGACUGGUAACAUCUUAGAAGCCAGUACAGGUACCUUCCCCUUUGGAGGGCCAUGAAAAAGAAGGCAAACAAUAGUGACAGUCAUUCAGCAAGCUCAAGAAACAGCCUGUGUUUGGUCUCCACCCUAUGUGCAGCUACCAACUCAUGCGAUCUGGUGAUACUGCCCUGAACAUAAAUACAGUAGUGCCCCUUUAUUUGUAUGAGCUAUAUUCUGACCUUCUGAAAAUGCCUAAAACCACAGAUACCAGUAGUAUGUUACCCUAUAUAAGUUCUUGUUUUUUCCUUUAAAUACAUAUCUAUGAUAAAGUUUACUUUAUAAAUUAGCCACAAUAAAAGAUUUACAACAAUAAUUUAUUUCUGAAAUUUUCCAUUUAGUAUUUGGACCAAAGUUGACUAUAGGUAACUGAAACCAUGGUUGGGGGAACUACUAUAAAUCCAAUCUAAAGUAACACUUGGGAAGAUUUCUCCCUUGUCUCUAAAGACAUCCAGUUAUGUCUACUAGAAAUAAAACAUUAAGGUCAAUUUUGUUUUGUAACUUUUGUAUACAAUAGGAUCAUAUUUCAAUAGCUGUGAAAAACAAAACAAAAAAUACAAACUAUACUUUAUAGAGAGGAAACAUUUUCUGUACAAAAAUAAUAAAAGAAUGGUGGCAGUAAACCUCAGAAGUAUCAGCUUUGAUGUUCUAUACUAGCCUUUCCAUAUAUAAUCCUUUCAACCAUCCUGCCUGAAAAUGAUGGACCAAUAUUACCUUUAGCUCUGGGGAAGGAACAGAAAUUCUCAGUAAUAGUCUGUGCCACUCAAAUAUAGUACCUUCUCUUCAGCUAUUCCUUUAAGACUGUGUUGCUAUACUCUAAAAAUCAAGUGUUUAAGAAUGUGUAUAAACAUAUGUAUCCAGUAUAUGACAGCUAUCCAAAAUGAGAGGUUUUAAUGCACUUUCUAAUUUUCCACAGUUUCUUCACAGCAUGGUAAAUACCAUCAAUUUCAUAUGGAAAAAUAGUGAAGAAAAGUGCUUUAGAAAAAUAAAGUUUCCCCAACUAUCUAUAUCUACCAU
rnacentral:lncRNA from 1 species